GAUGAACGCUGGCGGCGUGCCUAAUACAUGCAAGUCGAGCGAACGGACGAGAAGCUUGCUUUUCUGAUGUUAGCGGCGGACGGGUGAGUAACACGUGGAUAACCUACCUAUAAGACUGGGAUAACUUCGGGAAACCGGAGCUAAUACCGGAUAAUAUUUUGAACCGCAUGGUUCAAAAGUGAAAGACGGUCUUGCUGUCACUUAUAGAUGGAUCCGCGCUGCAUUAGCUAGUUGGUAAGGUAACGGCUUACCAAGGCAACGAUGCAUAGCCGACCUGAGAGGGUGAUCGGCGACACUGGAACUGAGACACGGUCCAGACUCCUACGGGAGGCAGCAGUAGGGAAUCUUCCGCAGUGGGCGAAAGCCUGACGGAGCAACGCCGCGUGAGUGAUGAAGGUCUUCGGAUCGUAAAACUCUGUUAUUAGGGAAGAACAUAUGUGUAAGUAACUGUGCACAUCUUGACGGUACCUAAUCAGAAAGCCACGGCUAACUACGUG
rnacentral:rRNA from 1 species